CCCCGGUAAACGGCGGCCGUAACUAUAACGGUCCUAAGGUAGCGAAAUUCCUUGUCGGGUAAGUUCCGACCUGCACGAAUGGAGUAACGAUUUGGGGACUGUCUCCACGAGGGGCUCAGCGAAUCUGUAGCGCUGGUGAAGAUGCCAGCUACCCGCAACUAGACGGAAAGACCCUGUGCACCUUUACUACACCCUGGCAGUGAACUCUGGUGCUGUAUGUGUAGGAUAGGUGGGAGCCUUUGAAGCCGGGCCGCUAGGUUCGGUGGAGGCAACGGUGAAAUACCACCCUUACAGUACCGGAGUUCUAACCGAGGUCCGUCAUCCGGAUCCGGGACAUUGCCAGGCGGGUAGUUUGACUGGGGCGGUCGCCUCCCAAAGCGUAACGGAGGCUCGCGAAGGUUCUCUCAGGCUGUUUGGAAAUCAGCCGUCGAGUGUAAAGGCAGAAGAGAGCUUAACUGUAAGACCUACAAGUCGAGCAGGUGGGAAACCAGGCCUUAGUGAUCCGGUGGUUCUGUAUGGAAGGGCCAUCGCUCAAAGGAUAAAAGGUACGCCGGGGAUAACAGGCUGAUCCUGACCAAGAGUUCACAUCGACGUCAGGGUUUGGCACCUCGAUGUCGGCUCAUCGCAUCCUGGGGCUGGAGCAGGUCCCAAGGGUUCGGCUGUUCGCCGAUUAAAGCGGUACGUGAGCUGGGUUUAGAACGUCGCGAGACAGUUCGGUCCCUAUCUGUUGUGGGCGGAGGAGAAUUGAGUGGAGGUUUCCUUAGUACGAGAGGACCGGGAAGCACUGACCUCUAGUGUACGAGUUGUCCUGCCAAGGGCAUCGCUCGGUAGCUACGUCGGGAAAGGAUAAUCGCUGAAAGCAUAUAAGCGAGAAGCCAACCACAAGAUGAGUUCUCCCUGAAGACCCGUGGUAGAUGACCACGUUGAUAGGCUGGAUGUGGAAGAGCAGUGAUGCUCGUAGCUGACCAGUACUAAUCGGUCGUUUGGCUUGACCAU
rnacentral:rRNA from 1 species